UUGGCAGGGAAGAAGAGGAGGGAGGAAGGAAGGGAGGGAGGGAGGAAGGAAGGGAGGGAGGGAGGGAGGAUGUUGUGGGUUUGAUGGCCUCAAUCCCAACCCCAGCGUCCACUCCUCAACCCUCCCUCAACUGGCUUCUCCGUCCCGGUGUCCGUCUUCUUCUUCAUCAUCUUCAUCUUCUAUUUCUGGCUUCUGCCUCCUGCUCUCGCUCCUCCUCUCAACACAGCACACAGCUCCUCUGCCCCUCUCACUCUGCUCUUCUCUUCUCCUCUGUUUUGUCUGUCUACCAUGUCUACGACUGGGGCCGUCUUGGGCGUUAUUCGCGCCUCGCGUCCCACUCUUCGAUCUGCUUUGGAUCGCGCUGCUUUUGCCCUGCACGCCACUUUCUUAGCCAAUGGCUAUUCCCUCGUUGCCACCGGCACCAAGGCUAAUCCCUCCUCCGCUCCAUUGUCCGCCCUGCAGGACGAGCCCGAGGUUGGAAUUGACGGCUGGGAUGAGAUGCCUGGUGCCUAUUCAUUUCGUUAUUCUGGAAGUGGCCAACCCGAUCUCUUGCCUUCAAUUACCGUCAAUUGCAUUGCUAUGGGCGAAUUUCUCAUGGUUGAUGCAGUGUCAUCGGGAUUGGAUACUCCCGUGCAUGCCGAGAUCAAGACAACCCUCUAUGCAGCUGAUGGAGAUGCAGCAGGCAGUUAUAACCAGCAGUACACAAACCUUGAAGGCUUGGUGAAUCUUGUUAACUUGUCCAUUUCGAGUAAACUUUCUCCCAAGAAAGAGAGUACAUCUACAAGAAUGGUUAGCGCAGACUCAACCACAGGAGAUAGACGGUCAUCCGAAAUGAGUACUUCACUCAGGGAUGACCGGCAGCGACCUGGUGAUCACAGCAGGUUUUCGUAUCCUCAAGUACCUGGAUUUGAUGGGGGCGAUCUUUACCCAUCUCCUGGAGCUGGGAUCUUCGUUCCCGGUUAUCUUAACCGUCGCUUUAACAUUGUCUCGGUUAUUGCAGCGGGAGUCCUUUUGGAGGGCCCGGAAUGCUAGUUGGCCCGAAUGACCCGCGAUGGGGUCCAGUGGGAGUACCUCGACCAGGGCAACCUGGUUUUGGUGGUGAUUUUUCAGUGCCACCGGGUGCCAGGUUUGAUCCUUAUGGACCUCCAGGAGUUCCAGGGUUUGAACCAAACCGCUUUACCAGGAAUCCAAGAAGACCGCCUGGGGGUCACCCCGAUUUGGAACACUUCCACGACUCUUAGAGGAAAGGACUUGUACAUGAACAACCCCUUUUGACCUAGACGUCUUAGGCGAUGAUGCAUCGAAAGUGACCGAAGAUGCUGUGAAUCUAAGAGAUUCGACGUCCUCAUUUUCGUUGUUAUACAUAUGUGAUAUUUUGCAUUUUUGCACUUUUGGAUUUUGAAUAGACUGGAUGAGAACUCUAGAACUUCCAUAUUAUCUAAAUCAAGUUGGUUAUACUAGAGAUAUCUGAAUACAAUGGUUUUGUAGCAUAGAUAAUCGUCGUUUAUCUAGUUUUAUUAUUUGUUCAUAUCACGAGUGUUUUUGGGUUGGCUUUUCUAGAGUAAUUCUUAGUGAUAGUAUUUUAUGUACGUAUCAAAUGAGGGAGAAGGGUCCUUUGUUCCAAAAUAGCAUUACAAACAGAUUGGAUUGUAUGGUUUAGGACUUUGUGGCAAUUGACGGCAUGAUUACACAAUUUCACCAUACAUUGUUGGUUCGGAAAUUGGCGCUUGUACAGUCUUGGAUACUGGAAAAUUUCUAUGCUGUUAACUGUGGGUACAGCUCUGAACAGAGCAGUUCCAACUGUAAGUCUACAUUAAUUGUU